CAGGAUGAACGCUGGCGGCGUGCUUAACACAUGCAAGUCGAACGAUGAAGCCCAGCUUGCUGGGUGGAUUAGUGGCGAACGGGUGAGUAACACGUGAGUAACCUGCCCCCGACUCUGGGAUAAGCCCGGGAAACUGGGUCUAAUACCGGAUAUUACCUUUGACCGCAUGGUUGUUGGUGGAAAGAUUUAUCGGUGGGGGAUGGACUCGCGGCCUAUCAGCUUGUUGGUGAGGUAAUGGCUCACCAAGGCGACGACGGGUAGCCGGCCUGAGAGGGUGACCGGCCACACUGGGACUGAGACACGGCCCAGACUCCUACGGGAGGCAGCAGUGGGGAAUAUUGCACAAUGGGCGAAAGCCUGAUGCAGCGACGCCGCGUGAGGGAUGACGGCCUUUCGGGUUGUAAACCUCUUUCAGUAGGGAAGAAGCGAAAGUGACGGUACCUGCAGAAAAAGCGCCGGCUAACUACGUGCCAGCAGCCGCGGUAAUACGUAGGGCGCAAGCGUUAUCCGGAUUUAUUGGGCGUAAAGAGCUCGUAGGCGGUUUGUCGCGUCUGCCGUGAAAGUCCGAGGCUCAACCUCGGAUCUGCGGUGGGUACGGGCAGACUAGAGUGAUGUAGGGGAGACUGGAAUUCCUGGUGUAGCGGUGAAAUGCGCAGAUAUCAGGAGGAACACCGAUGGCGAAGGCAGGUCUCUGGGCAUUUACUGACGCUGAGGAGCGAAAGCAUGGGGAGCGAACAGGAUUAGAUACCCUGGUAGUCCAUGCCGUAAACGUUGGGCACUAGGUGUGGGGGACAUUCCACGUUUUCCGCGCCGUAGCUAACGCAUUAAGUGCCCCGCCUGGGGAGUACGGCCGCAAGGCUAAAACUCAAAGGAAUUGACGGGGGCCCGCACAAGCGGCGGAGCAUGCGGAUUAAUUCGAUGCAACGCGAAGAACCUUACCAAGGCUUGACAUGUGCCAGACCGCCUCAGAGAUGGGGUUUCCCUUCGGGGCUGG
rnacentral:rRNA from 1 species